rnacentral:rRNA from 1 species
AGUGAACGCUGGCGGUAGGCCUAACACAUGCAAGUCGAACGGCAGCACAGUAAGAGCUUGCUCUUACGGGUGGCGAGUGGCGGAUGGGUGAGGAAUACAUCGGAAUCUACUUUUUCGUGGGGGAUAACGUAGGGAAACUUACGCUAAUACCGCAUACGACCUACGGGUGAAAGCAAGGGAUCUUCGGACCUUGCGCGAUUGAAUGAGCCGAUGUCGGAUUAGCUAGUUGGCGGGGUAAAGGCCCACCAAGGCGACGAUCCGUAGCUGGUCUGAGAGGAUGAUCAGCCACACUGGAACUGAGACACGGUCCAGACUCCUACGGGAGGCAGCAGUGGGGAAUAUUGGACAAUGGGCGCAAGCCUGAUCCAGCCAUACCGCGUGGGUGAAGAAGGCCUUCGGGUUGUAAAGCCCUUUUGUUGGGAAAGAAAAGCAGCAGGUUAAUACCCCGCUGUUCUGACGGUACCCAAAGAAUAAGCACCGGCUAACUUCGUG